rnacentral:rRNA from 1 species
UACAGAGGUCCCAAGCGUUGUUCGGAUUCACUGGGCGUAAAGGGCGCGUAGGUGGUGAGGUAAGUCGGAUGUGAAAUCUCCGAGCUCAACUCGGAAAUGGCAUUGGAAACUACCUUGCUCGAGGGUUGGAGGGGGGACUGGAAUGCUUGGUGUAGCAGUGAAAUGCGUAGAUAUCAAGCGGAACACCAGUGGCGAAGGCGAGUCCCUGGACAACUCCUGACACUGAGGCACGAAAGCUAGGGGAGCAAACAGG